CAGUCGCCACGGUAAUACGUAGGUGGCAAGCGUUGUCCGGAAUUAUUGGGCGUAAAGGGCUCGCAGGCGGUUUCUUAAGUCUGAUGUGAAAGCCCCCGGCUCAACCGGGGAGGGUCAUUGGAAACUGGGAAACUUGAGUGCAGAAGAGGAGAGUGGAAUUCCACGUGCAGCGGUGAAAUGCGUAGAGAUGUGGAGGAACACCAGUGGCGAAGGCGACUCUCUGGUCUGUAACUGACGCUGAGGAGCGAAAGCGUGGGGAGCGAACAGGAUUAGAUACCCCCGUAGUCCCUGUCUCUUAUAC
rnacentral:rRNA from 1 species